rnacentral:rRNA from 1 species
GUGCGGAGAGAUCCUCUCAGGAGGCAAAUCCGCAGCUCCUACCCGGAGUUCAGAGGCUCAAUGAGUGUGGGUUCACCGAGCGUGAGCUUGAGAUAGAGUCCGUCCCCGCUGGCAACUGCUGGGAGUUAACGGAACCUGCGGAAGGAUCAUUAAAGAAUACAAGGCUCUCGAGCCCUAUUCUCACCCUUUGUUUAUUAACUUUGUUGCUUUGGCAGGCCUCCGGCUUCGGCUGGGUCGCGUCUGUCAGAGGCCUAACUCUUGAAUCUCUGCUGUCUGAGUACUAUCUAAUAGUUAAAACUUUCAACAACGGAUCUCUUGGUUCUGGCAUCGAUGAAGAACGCAGCGAAAUGCGAUAAGUAAUGUGAAUUGCAGAAUUCAGUGAAUCAUCGAAUCUUUGAACGCACAUUGCGCCCUCUGGUAUUCCGGGGGGCAUGCCUGUUCGAGCGUCAUUACAACCCUCAAGCUCUGCUUGGUGUUGGGCUCGCCCUGUAGGGCCUGCCUCAAAGUCAGUGGCGGCACCGUCUGACCCUAAGCGUAGUACUACUCGCCGCUUCUGGAAUCGGUCGGCUGCCUGCCAACCUAACCCCCACCAUCAAGGUUGACCUCCGGAUCAGGUAGGGAUACCCGCUGAACUUAAGCAUAUCAAUAAGCGGAGGAAAAGAAACCAACAGGGAUUGCCUCAGUAACGGCGAGUGAAGCGGCAACAGCUCAAAUUUGAAAGCUGGCUCCUUUGGGGGCCCGCGUUGUAAUUUGUAGAGGAUGCUUCGGGUGCGGCGCCGGUCUAAGUUCUUUGGAACAAGACGUCAUAGAGGGUGAGAAUCCCGUAUGUGACUGGUUGCCUGUGCCCGUGUGAAGCUCCUUCGACGAGUCGAGUUGUUUGGGAAUGCAGCUCUAAAUGGGUGGUAAAUUUCAUCUAAAGCUAAAUAUUGGCCAGAGACCGAUAGCGC